CCCCAGCGCCACAAGUGGCAUUCACAUUUACUUGGUCUAAAGCGUCCGUAGCAGGUUUGAUAAAUCUUUUGUGAAAUCGUCGGGCUUAACUCGACGGCGUGCAGGGGACACUAUCAGACUUGGGACCGGGAGGAGUCAGAAGUAUUCUUUGGGGAGCGGUAAAAUGCUAUAAUCCAUUGAAGACUACCAGUGGCGAAGGCGUCUGACUAGAACGGAUCCGACUGUGAGGGACGAAAGCUAGGGGA
rnacentral:rRNA from 1 species